UUGUGCUUUAAACCCUAUUUAAUUAUAAUUCACAUAGAAAUAUAAUGAAUUAGUUAAUUAGGGUGUUCUUCUUAAUUCUAACAUAUGUGGAUUUAAGCUGAUAUGGGUAUGGUGCAUUAAGAGAUUGUUAUAUUUUACUUUCGUGUUCUUGAUUAACAAUCUGAUAUAAUUAAUUAUGUGUAACGAGAAGUGUAUUGAUUUAAAUGAAACAAUAGGUGAAAUUGUAGUCUCAAGUCUUCAUUAUCU
rnacentral:lncRNA from 1 species